GGGCCCGCACAAGCGGUGGAGUAUGUGGUUUAAUUCGAUGCAACGCGAAGAACCUUACCAGGGUUUGACAUCCUGCGAAUCUCUUGGAAACGAGGAGAGUGCCUUCGGGAGCGCAGUGACAGGUGGUGCAUGGCUGUCGUCAGCUCGUGUCGUGAGAUGUUCGGUUAAGUCCGGCAACGAGCGCAACCCUUACCCUUAUUUGCCAGCGGUUAGGCCGGGAACUAUAAGGGAACUGCCGGUAAUAAGCCGGAGGAAGGUGGGGACGACGUCAAGUCAUCAUGGCCCUUACGUGUAGGGCUACACACGUGCUACAAUGGGAGAUACAGACGGUUGCUAAAGCGCGAGCUGGAG
rnacentral:rRNA from 1 species